GACGAACGCUGGCGGCGUGCUUAACACAUGCAAGUCGAACGGACAGGCCCUGCUUUUGUGGGGUGCUCGAUUGGCGAACGGGUGAGUAAAACGUGAGUAACCUGCCCUUAACUGUGUGGGAACUUCAGGAAACUCGGGCUAAUACACGAUAGAAGCUCCUGCUCCAUGGUGGUGGUUGGAGAGUUUCGGCGGUAGGGGCUGGAUUGGCGGCUUAUCAGCUGCUUGGUCGAGUAGGUGCUUACCAAGGCUUUGACGGGUAGCCCGCCUGGGAGGGUGACCGGCCUCAUGGGGACUGAGAGACGGCCCAGACGGCUACGGGAGGCAGCAGUGGGGAAUAUGGCAGAAUGGGCGGAAGCGUGAGGCAACAACGCCGCGUGCGGGAUGCCGGCUUUCGGGGUGAAAACCGCUGUCGCCUGAGCCGAAGCGGGAGUGACGGUAAUGGGUAAAGAAGCACCGGCUAACUACGUG
rnacentral:rRNA from 1 species